AGAGUUGAUCCUGGCUUAGGAUGAACGCUAGCGGCAGGCUUAACACAUGCAAGUCGAGGGGCAGCGCGAGGUAGCAAUACUUGGCGGCGACCGGCGCAAGGGUGCGUAACGCGUGAGCAACUUGCCCGUAACAGGAGGAUAACCGGAGGAAACUCCGACUAAUACUGCGUAGUAAUAAUUGGUGGCAUCACCGAGUGUUUAAAGGCGAAAGCCGGUUACGGAUAGGCUCGCGUGACAUUAGCUUGAUGGCGGGGUAACGGCCCGCCAUGGCGACGAUGUCUAGGGGUUCUGAGAGGAAGGUCCCCCACACUGGUACUGAGACACGGACCAGACUCCUACGGGAGGCAGCAGUGAGGAAUAUUGGACAAUGGUCGGAAGACUGAUCCAGCCAUGCCCGCGUGAAGGUUAAGGUCCUAUGGAUUGUAAACUUCUUUUGUACGAGAGGAAUUAGACGGACGUGUCCGUCGACGACAGUAUCGUACGAAUAAGCAUCGGCUAACUCCGUGCCAGCAGCCGC
rnacentral:rRNA from 1 species